GACGAACGCUGGCGGCGUGCCUAAUACAUGCAAGUAGAACGCUGAAGCUUGGUGCUUGCACCGAGCGGAUGAGUUGCGAACGGGUGAGUAACGCGUAGGUAACCUGCCUGGUAGCGGGGGAUAACUAUUGGAAACGAUAGCUAAUACCGCAUAACAGUAGAUAUCGCAUGAUAGCUACUUGAAAGGUGCAAAUGCACCACUACCAGAUGGACCUGCGUUGUAUUAGCUAGUUGGUGAGGUAACGGCUCACCAAGGCAACGAUACAUAGCCGACCUGAGAGGGUGAUCGGCCACACUGGGACUGAGACACGGCCCAGACUCCUACGGGAGGCAGCAGUAGGGAAUCUUCGGCAAUGGACGGAAGUCUGACCGAGCAACGCCGCGUGAGUGAAGAAGGUUUUCGGAUCGUAAAGCUCUGUUGUAAGAGAAGAACGAGUGUGAGAGUGGAAAGUUCACACUGUGACGGUAUCUUACCAGAAAGGGACGGCUAGCUACGUG
rnacentral:rRNA from 1 species